GACGAACGCUGGCGGCGUGCUUAACACAUGCAAGUCGAACGGAAAGGCCCUGCUUUUGUGGGGUGCUCGAGUGGCGAACGGGUGAGUAACACGUGAGUAACCUGCCCUUGCCUUUGGGAUACCUUCAGGAAACUGGGGCUAAUACCGUAUAGGAGCUCCUGCUGCAUGGUGGGGGUUGGAAAUUUUCGGCGGUUGGGGAUGGACUCGCGGCUUAUCAGCUUGUUGGUGGGGUAGUGGCUUACCAAGGCUUUGACGGGUAGCCGGCCUGAGAGGGUGACCGGCCACAUUGGGACUGAGAUACGGCCCAGACUCCUACGGGAGGCAGCAGUGGGGAAUAUUGCACAAUGGGCGGAAGCCUGAUGCAGCAACGCCGCGUGCGGGAUGACGGCCUUCGGGUUGUAAACCGCUUUCGCCUGUGACGAAGCGUGAGUGACGGUAAUGGGUAAAGAAGCACCGGCUAACUACGUG
rnacentral:rRNA from 1 species